AUUUUUGGUAAGCAGAACUGGCGAUGCGGGAUGAACCGAACGUGAAGUUAAGGUGCCGGAAUGUACGCUCAUCAGACACCACAAAAGGUGUUAAUUCAUCUAGACAGCAGGACGGUGGCCAUGGAAGUCGGAAUCCGCUAAGGAAUGUGUAACAACUCACCUGCCGAAUGAAUUAGCCCUGAAAAUGGAUGGCGCUUAAGCGUACUACCCAUACUUCACCGCCAGGGUAGAAACGAUGCCCUGGCGAGUAGGCAGGCGUGGGGGUCCGUGACGAAGCCUUGGGAGUGAUCCCGGGUAGAACGGCCUCUAGUGCAGAUCUUGGUGGUAGUAGCAAAUACUCAAAUGAGAACUUUGAGGACUGAAGUGGGGAAAGGUUCCAUGUGAACAGCAGUUGGACAUGGGUUAGUCGAUCCUAAGAGAUAGGGAAACUCCGUUUUAAAGUGCGCACUUGUGCGCCGUCCCUCGAAAGGGAAGCCGGUUAAUAUUCCGGCACCUGGAUUUGGAUUCUCCACGGCAACGUAACUGAACGCGGAGACGACGGCGGGGGCCCUGGGAAGAGUUCUCUUUUCUUCUUAACUGCCCCCUGCCCUGGAAUCGGUUUAGCCGGAGCGAGGGCUCCGCGGCAGGCAAAGCACCCUAAGUCUUGGGGUGUC
rnacentral:rRNA from 14 species